rfam:Roseburia sp. CAG:18 genomic scaffold, scf36
ACAUGGGAUAGAGGUCGCGUAAUUCAUGAGUAGCCUGUUGGAUGUGGCAGACACAGUCGAAUGCAGGUAAAAGGGGAAAGCGCCGAAAGAACCGGAUGACUGCAGUCUGGUUUUUGGGCAUGCGGUGAAUAAUCGUAUGACUGUCAGAAGCGUAUGAGCGUGGAUGGAGAGCUAUCAGAUCU